AAGAUCGCAGACAACUUGACACUUGGAAAAGGGGAGGGAGGGAAAAACAGGGAGACAUUGGUUUAUAGUGAGUUUCGGGAUAUACAGCCCUCUCCUUUCAAAGAGUCUACUUAGAUUGCAAGAGAAAUACUUCUUUCUUGGAUUACUCAAACACGUCUGUAUGUUCUACUUCCAUGCCAGCUCAUGAGCAGAAGAUGGCUAGUGACUUAUCUUCUAGAGAAAAAUGACAGAAAUGACUAUUUGGAAUUAUUCCUGGAAUUAGACCAGCAUGAGGUCCCCUCUGCCAAUCUAAGAGGAUAAAAGAGGAGUACAACAGGGUAAAUCAACAUGAAUCUGAAAUCCACGGCAGCAUAUUAAACGGCACAGUCUCC
rnacentral:lncRNA from 1 species